ACAGUCUCUGACUUCUCGCAG
rnacentral:miRNA from 1 species